rnacentral:rRNA from 1 species
UAGUGGGGGAUAACGUCCGGAAACGGGCGCUAAUACCGCAUACGUCCUGAGGGAGAAAGUGGGGGAUCUUCGGACCUCACGCUAUCAGAUGAGCCUAGGUCGGAUUAGCUAGUUGGUGGGGUAAAGGCCUACCAAGGCGACGAUCCGUAACUGGUCUGAGAGGAUGAUCAGUCACACUGGAACUGAGACACGGUCCAGACUCCUACGGGAGGCAGCAGUGGGGAAUAUUGGACAAUGGGCGAAAGCCUGAUCCAGCCAUGCCGCGUGUGUGAAGAAGGUCUUCGGAUUGUAAAGCACUUUAAGUUGGGAGGAAGGGCAGUAAGUUAAUACCUUGCUGUUUUGACGUUACCAACAGAAUAAGCACCGGCUAACUUCGUGCCAGCAGCCGCGGUAAUACGAAGGGUGCAAGCGUUAAUCGGAAUUACUGGGCGUAAAGCGCGCGUAGGUGGUUCAGCAAGUUGGAUGUGAAAUCCCCGGGCUCAACCUGGGAACUGCAUCCAAAACUACUGAGCUAGAGUACGGUAGAGGGUGGUGGAAUUUCCUGUGUAGCGGUGAAAUGCGUAGAUAUAGGAAGGAACACCAGUGGCGAAGGCGACCACCUGGACUGAUACUGACACUGAGGUGCGAAAGCGUGGGGAGCAA